UACGUAGGGUGCGAGCGUUAAUCGGAAUUACUGGGCGUAAAGCGUGCGCAGGCGGUGAGCUGUGUCCGAUGUGAAAGCCCCGGGCUUAACCUGGGAAUUGCAUUUGAGACUGCGUAGCUAGAGUGCGGUAGAGGGUAGUGGAAUUCCCGGUGUAGCAGUGAAAUGCGUAGAGAUCGGGAGGAACACCAGUGGCGAAGGCGGCUACCUGGACCAGCACUGACACUGAGGCACGAAAGCGUGGGGAGCAAACGGG
rnacentral:rRNA from 1 species